rnacentral:rRNA from 1 species
UCAUUGUAGCAAUACAAGGCAGACGGCUCAUUAACGCGUAGUCAAUCUAACCUAUGGACGGGGAUAACCUCGGGAAACUGAGAAUAAUACCCGAUAGAACAUUAUGCCUGGAAUGGUUUAUGUUUCAAAUAAUUUAUUGCCGUAGGAUGGGACUGCGGCCUAUCAGUUUGUUGGUGAGGUAAUGGCCCACCAAGACUAUUACAGGUACGGGCUCUGAGAGGAGUAGCCCGGAGAUGGGUACUGAGACACGGACCCAGGCCCUAUGGGGCGCAGCAGGCGAGAAAACUUUGCAAUGUGCGAAAGCACGACAAGGUUAAUCCGAGUGGUUUCUGCUAAAGGAACCUUUUGUUAGUCAUAGAACCACUAAUGAAUAAGGGGUGGGCAAGUUCUGGUGUCAGCCGCCGCGGUAAAACCAGCACCUCAAGUGGUCAGGAUGAUUAUUGGGCCUAAAGCAUCCGUAGCCUGGUUUGUAAGUUUUCGGUUAAAUCCAUACGCUCAACGUAUGGGCUGCCGGGAAUACUGCAAAGCUAGGGAGUGGGAGAGGUAGACGGUACUCGGUAGGAAGGGGUAAAAUCCUUUGAUCUAUUGAUGACCACCUGUGGCGAAGGCGGUCUACCAGAACACGUCCGACGGUGAGGGAUGAAAGCUGGGGGAGCAAACCGGAUUAGAUACCCGGGUAGUCCCAGCUGUAAACUAUGCAAACUCGGUGAUGCAUUGGGCUUGAUGCCAAUGCAGUGCCGCAGGGAAGCCGUUAAGUUUGCCGCCUGGGAAGUACGUACGCAAGUAUGAAACUUAAAGGA